rnacentral:rRNA from 1 species
GUCUUCUUGUAAUAUUUAGGAAGUCUGACCUGCCCAGUGAAAAUUUAAAUUUAACGGCCGCGGUAUUCUGACCGUGCAAAGGUAGCAUAAUCAUUAGUCUUUUAAUAGAGGGCUGGAAUGAAGGGUUUGACGAGGUGUUGACUGUCUCAUUUAAUUUGAAUUUAGAAUUUAACUUUUUAGUCAAAAGGCUGAAAUAAUAUUGGAAGACGAGAAGACCCUAUAGAGCUUUAUAAUAUUUUUAUUAAUAAAUUUUAGUAAAUGGUUAUUUAUUAUUAUAAUCUAUUAUUUUGUUGGGGUGACAAAAAUAUAUAAUAAACUUUUUUAUUUAUUUAACAUUGAUUUAUGAUUAUUAGAUCCAAUUUUAUUGAUUAUUAGAACAAGUUACCUUAGGGAUAACAGCGUAAUCUUCUUUCAGAGUUCAUAUUUACAAGAAGGCUUGCGACCUCGAUGUUGGAUUAAGAUGAUAAUUAGGUGUAGCUGCUUAAUGUAUAGGUCUGUUCGACCUUUAAAUUCUU